rnacentral:rRNA from 1 species
AGUGAACGCUGGCGGUAGGCCUAACACAUGCAAGUCGAACGGCAGCACAGUAAGAGCUUGCUCUUACGGGUGGCGAGUGGCGGACGGGUGAGGAAUACAUCGGAAUCUACUUUUUCGUGGGGGAUAACGUAGGGAAACUUACGCUAAUACCGCAUACGACCUACGGGUGAAAGCAGGGGAUCUUCGGACCUUGCGCGAUUGAAUGAGCCGAUGUCGGAUUAGCUAGUUGGCGGGGUAAAGGCCCACCAAGGCGACGAUCCGUAGCUGGUCUGAGAGGAUGAUCAGCCACACUGGAACUGAGACACGGUCCAGACUCCUACGGGGGGCAGCAGUGGGGAAUAUUGGACAAUGGGCGCAAGCCUGAUCCAGCCAUACCGCGUGGGUGAAGAAGGCCUUCGGGUUGUAAAGCCCUUUUGUUGGGAAAGAAAAGCAGCAGGUUAAUACCCCGCUGUUCUGACGGUACCCAAAGAGUAAGCACCGGCUAACUUCGUG